UGUCUCCCCUACACUAGACUGCAAGCAGCAUGAGGGUGGGCUCUUUGUCCCCAGGACUCAAAGCAGUACUGGACACAUGUGCCGGGGAUGGACCGUUCCUGUGUCAAGGCAAGUGUUAACACCGCCAUCUGACAGCCCAGGAGACUCCAGGACCUCGUCACUGGCUCGUUCAGCCGGCAGGUCCUGACCACCUGCCGUUGGCGAGGCAACGCUAAGCAGGAGGGAACUGCUCCAGAGAACACGCGAGUAACGGGACAUUUCUCAUUCUCGUUCUCAGCCAACUGUUGGCCUCAUGAGCGCAAAGACUGGGCGGUUUGUAUCACUUCAGUGUUUCUGGAGCCCAGCACAGAGCCUGGCACAUAGUAGGUGCUCAAUGAACAUUUACUGAUCCCUAAAAAUAUAUAAACUCCAGCUUUUAGGGUACCACCAAUCUCACGGGAAGGGCAGAUGUGCAAACAGAAUGGUGGACGUAUAAAAUCAAGCCUCCAUCUGGGGAUCCCAUCUUCCUCCACAUGGUUCCAGUGAAGUGAUUCCAACCCAUGGCCAGCUUGAAGGUCCCCAGUCAGAACCAUGACACCCAGCUCAGGCCAGGCCAGGGGGAACGGAUGUAUCACAGGACUCGUCUUUUCUACUAGACACUGGUUCUCAAGGUGAAGCCAAUGCGGAGUAGCUCCAGGACACACAGAACCAGUCUCCCGAGGACUGCCAGCUGAGACGUGGAUCCAGGCCUGCUGGAAGCCAGCUUCGCCUCUUGAGCGUCUCAGCAA